rnacentral:piRNA from 1 species
UGGCAAUGCAGAAAACGUCAGGGCAAGUUG